rnacentral:rRNA from 1 species
AUUGAACGCUGGCGGCAGGCCUAACACAUGCAAGUCGAGCGGAUGAGAAGAGCUUGCUCUUCGAUUCAGCGGCGGACGGGUGAGUAAUGCCUAGGAAUCUGCCUGGUAGUGGGGGACAACGUUUCGAAAGGAACGCUAAUACUGCAUACGUCCUACGGGAGAAAGCAGGGGACCUUCGGGCCUUGCGCUAUCAGAUGAGCCUAGGUCGGAUUAGCUAGUUGGUGAGGUAAUGGCUCACCAAGGCGACGAUCCGUAACUGGUCUGAGAGGAUGAUCAGUCACACUGGAACUGAGACACGGUCCAGACUCCUACGGGAGGCAGCAGUGGGGAAGAUUGGACAAUGGGCGAAAGCCUGAUCCAGCCAUGCCGCGUGUGUGAAGAAGGUCUUCGGAUUGUAAAGCACUUUAAGUUGGGAGGAAGGGCAGUAAGUUAAUACCUUGCUGUUUUGACGUUACCGACAGAAUAAGCACCGGCUAACUCUGUGCCAGCCGCCGCCGUAAUAC